CUACCACUUCCCCAUGAUAAUAUAAAUUUACUCAACCAACAAAAGUUGUGGUGUCAUUUAUUCUUAAUGAAAAGUCUGAAAACCGUGAUCGAAGUCGUGGUUUGAAGAUGAUGAUUUGAAGAUUCAUUCGACAAGUUUGAAUCUCCUGCCUACGAAAUCCCGGAGGAUAUAUAUAUAUAUUCACUCUCUUCAUUUGAUUUUUAAGUUGAGAAACAAAUCAAUGAAGAACAAACUUUUUCUCUGUUUUAGACCCAUUGAUGUUGCAGACAACUCUCUUUUUCACAAGCAUCACAAAGAAGAUCCAACUUUGAAAACAAAGAGUAAGAGGAGGAACAGAAAAGACAAGUCAUUAAGGAAAGCAAGAUCUGAAUUUUCUUAUUCAACUUCUUAUUCAUCUACAGAAGAUGAAUUAUCAAGAUCAAACUCAUAUGACCGGAAAGAUGCUAAAAAUAUUAAUUCACCAGAAUGUGAUAAAGUCAUGAAUUUUUCAUUUUGUGUGUGUAUGUUUAUUUUCAUUUUAUUUGUGCUUAUAUAUAUUGGUAAAGUCUAUGCAAUUGUUGUAACAUCCUUAUGGGUUAUGCUUUUCACCUUAGUUGGAAAAUCCUAUGUAGUCCCCUUAACUGAAAUAUGACAAAACAGAGGAAAUUCACUCUGGUAAAAAUUAUUCUCCGUUCA